rnacentral:misc_RNA from 1 species
AAGGAUCAUUAUUGAAUGAAUGUAGAGUUGGUUGUCGCUGGCCCUUUCGGGGGCAUGUGCACGCCUUCUCUUUCAUCCACACACACCUGUGCACUUGUGAGACGGAGGACUUUUAAUUAGUUUUCCGUCUACUUAAUUACACAAACUCAUUUAAUUAAAUUGAAUGUAAUUGAUGUAACACAUCAUUAGAACUAAGUUUCAACAACGGAUCUCUUGGCUCUC